GCCCCUGUGGUGUAAAGGAUAGCAUGUGUGACUACGAAUCAUUUGGAAUGGGUUCGAAUCCCAUCAGGGGUA